rnacentral:rRNA from 1 species
UGGGAUUAGUGGGCGAACGGGGUGAGUAAAAANGUGAGUAACUGCCCUUGAAUNUGGGAUAAGCAAUUGGAAACGGUGUUUUAAUACCGGGAUACGGAACUUCAGCCGGGUGGNUAGGGGUUGGAAANGAAUUUUGGUCAAGGAUGGACCCGCGGCUAUCAGUAGUUGGUGAGGUAACGGCCCACCAAGGCGACGACGGGUAGCCGGCUGAGAGGGUGACCGGCCACACUGGGANUGANAANNNGNCCCAGANUCNUACGGGAGGCAGCAGUGGGGAAUAUUGCACAAUGGGCGAAAGCCUGAUGCAGCAACGCCGCGUGAGGGACGACGGCCUUCGGGUUGUAAACCUCUUUUAGUAGGGAAGAAGCGAAAGUGACGGUACCUGCAGAAAAAGCACCGGCUAACUACGUGCCAGCAGCCGCGGUAAUACGUAGGGUGCAAGCGUUGUCCGGAAUUAUUGGGCGUAAAGAGCUCGUAGGCGGUUUGUCGCGUCUGCUGUGAAAACCCGAGGCUCAACCUCGGGCCUGCAGUGGGUACGGGCAGACUAGAGUGCGGUAGGGGAGAUUGGAAUUCCUGGUGUAGCGGUGGAA